CAGGACGCUCGCAGAAGUGGGAUGGUCAGCAACUUGAGAAGCAGGGAUAGCUCCAGGAAUAAAGCUCCCUUUCUCACUACUGACCCUUUGCUGACACUGCUUACCUAAUUCCCUCUGCAGGGAGGAUUGGACAAGGCCAUGUUCUAGCACAAAACCAAGUUAAGGCAAGUUUUGCAUACGUAAUCAUCAAUGUUAAUUCCCUGUGUUUCAAUGAACCCACUCUGAACACUCUUGAAGAUGGAUUUUGGACCGAGCAAAGCACUAGCCAUCUGAAAAUCAGGACCAGUUGAGAUCCCCUUGAUGCUGCACCCAGAUUUUCCAAACACAGUCACAGUCCUGCCCUUUAGUUCUUAACCACUUUUAUUAAACCAUUUUUUUUCUUA